rnacentral:tRNA from 1 species
GGGUCCGUUAGCUCAGUCGGUAGAGCAGUUGACUUUUAAUCAAUUGGUCGGGCGUUCGAAUCGCCCACGACCCACCA